UGGCUGGGGUAAGAUAAGAAAGAUAAGUUGAGCCCAGACUGAAAAUCCUGUGUGUUCAGACUGGCCCAGAGGCAAGCAAGAAGCCCUUAAAAGUUUGAGUAGAUGUCACAAAUAUGAUUAAGGCAUUAUGACUAACAGAUCAGGGCAGAAAGUAGAGAAUGGUAGCCACUGGACCAAUUCAUGAGGAGGUCAGCUGCAUAAGAUCAAUGUUGAAGACAAGUUAGGGAAGGGAAAAUUCUGCACCUGAAGGACAGGGAAAACAUCAACAUAACUUUAAAUGGAGUGGUGGGCGGGAAUUAAAGAUGAUGGUAAGGUUUUCUGCUGGGUUUACUGGGAGAAAUAUUUGUAUUCCUACAAAGCAUGUGGGACAGAGGAAUAAAAAUAAGGGGUUUGGUUUCAGACACAUUCAACGUGAGGUGGUAAAAAGCAUUUCAAAUGAAGGUUUCCAAGAGGCCGUCAGAACCAGGAUUCCUGAUUUGAAGCCAGCACAGCCUCAAGGAAAAAGCUGCGGCCAUGUGUGAGCACACAGGAAGGAGCCGAGGAAAGGGAGAGAAUAAAGGUACUGAGGAAGGAAAGUACCGGAAGUCAGAAGAGAACAGGCACAUGGACACAGAGCAGAGGCAUGGAACGGAUGACAGUCUUGUCCCAUACGUGGAGAGAGGCAGAAAGUGUGCGCACAGAAGCACUUAUGUCGGCGUUACAGGAGGGUUCCAUGCAGGGACUGCAUUCUGGUAUCCACUAUCCAGUUACGACAUUAGAACAAAGCAAGAAAUGAAGCACCAGUGUUUUCCUUGAGAAGAAAAUGACAAUGAAAACAGGAAUUCCUACUGAGUCCUACAGUUCAAAUGAACACGUGAGGGCGAGAACAUGAAAGCUUGAUGGGAAUCUCCAGCUACACGUGACAAAACCAGAGAAGAGAGGAAGACGCUUCCUGUGAAACCAAAUCUAGGCAGCUACCCAGAAAGAGACCGAUCUAGCAAGAACACAAAAAUAAAAUCGUUCAACAAAA